rnacentral:piRNA from 1 species
CUCUCAGCAAAGAAAAUGAGU